CCUACGGGUGGCAGCAGUGAGGAAUCUUGGUCAAUGGGCGCUAGCCUGAACCAGCCACGUCGCGUGAAGGAUGACUGCCCUAUGGGUUGUAAACUUCUUUUAUAUGGGAGUAAAGUGCAGUAUGUAUACUGCUUUGCAUGUACCUUAUGAAUAAGGAUCGGCUAACUCCGUGCCAGCAGCCGCGGUAAGACGGAGGGUCCGAGCGUUAUCCGGAUUUAUUGGGUUUAAAGGGAGCGUAGGCGGGUUGUUAAGUCAGUUGUGAAAGUUUGCGGCUCAACCGUAAAAGUGCAGUUGAUACUGGUAUCCUUGAGUACAGUAGAGGUAGGCGGAAUUCGUGGUGUAGCGGUGAAAUGCUUAGAUAUCACGAAGAACGCCGAUUGCGAAGGCAGCUUGCUGGACUGUAACUGACGCUGAUGCUCGAAAGCGUGGGUAGCAAACAGGAUUAGAUACCCCUGUAGUC
rnacentral:rRNA from 1 species